GCCGGCAUGGCCAAAUGGCAAGGCGUUCGCUUCCUAAGCGAAAGAUUGUGGGUUCGAUCCCCACUGUCGGUA
rnacentral:tRNA from 1 species